GCCUGCAACUCAGGUAUCCACCUCUGCCUCCCUGGGGCUGGGUUGAAAGGUGUGCUCCACCACUGCCCAGGCAGAUUUGUAAAACCCUGAGCUCUGAGCAUCUAUCUGCUCCUUGAAGACUUUUGUGCCUGGUGCAUUCAACUCUGAUGCCUUCAGAGAUGCCUCAGAGCCCCGGGCCGCAGUUAAGGUGACGAGAUGCAGCAAUUCUUUAUGAACAUUUCAUUCCUGCUCGCUACACGACGUAAAUUAGAUGGUGUGUUACAUUCGGGCAAUAAGAGAGAUAUGUCACCACGACGCUGGCCCAUUGGAUGGAGAGGGGGUUUGGCGAAGAGCGGAAAGGAUUUCACCCUGAUGUGCACACUACUGAGUGACCCCGCUCACCAGCGGCUCUGCUGAUUGCUUUGCACCUUGCAGACUUCGAUACUGGCUCAGCCUCUUGCCGGCCUCGCUCCCUCCGCUCCCUCUGGGUCUCCAGCCCACCCUUCCCCUGCCUGGCUUUCUCUUGAAGCCAAAGCCAAGAGACCUAACAGAGGAGUCACAAAGGUCACGAAGGGAUGGAUGUCUCUGUGGGGAGGAGCAGGGCGGCAGAGCUAACACCAAAAUAAAACAAAAAUCCUUCAGGGACUAGA